AAUCGUUAUUAUGAAGCCGAUCUUUCCCACCACAAGUUAAAUGAAGCAGUGCAACCUAGUUAUAAAGAGGUGAGGCG
rnacentral:tRNA from 1 species